rnacentral:rRNA from 1 species
UACGGAGGAUCCAAGCGUUGUCCGGAUUUAUUGGGUUUAAAGGGUGCGUAGGCGGAUAAUUAAGUCAGUGGUGAAAUCUUGCGGCUCAACCGUAAAAUUGCCAUUGAAACUGAUUAUCUUGAGUACAGUUGAGGUGGGCGGAAUGUAUCAUGUAGCGGUGAAAUGCUUAGAUAUGAUACAGAACACCUAUUGCGAAAGCAGCUCACUAAACUGCAACUGGACGCUGAGGAGCGAAAGCGUGGGGAGCAAACAGG